rnacentral:rRNA from 1 species
AAGCUUGANUACUUGGAGGCAGCAGUAGGGAAUCAUCCGCAAUGGGCGAAAGCCUGACGGUGCAAUGCCGCGUGAACGAUGAAGGUUCUCGGAUCGUAAAGUUCUGUUAUGAGGGAAGAACAAGUGCCGUUUGAAUAAGGCGGCACCUUGACGGUACCUCACGAGAAAGCCCCGGCUAACUACGUGCCAGCAGCCGCGGUAAUA